rnacentral:rRNA from 1 species
GAUGAACGCUAGCGGCGGGCUUAAUACAUGCAAGUCAAGGGGUAGCAAUACACCGGCGUACGGGUGCGUAACGCGUAUGGAACCUGCCCUUAUCUGGGGGAUAACUCGGGGAAACUCGAGCUAAUACCGCAUAAGAUAGUAGAAUGGCAUCAUUCAGCUAUUAAAGAUUUAUUGGAUAAGGAUGGCCAUGCGUAAGAUUAGAUAGUUGGCGAGGUAACGGCUCACCAAGUCUACGAUCUUUAGGGGCUCUGAGAGGAGAAUCCCCCCACACUGGCACUGAGAUACGGGCCAGACUCCUACGGGAGGCAGCAGUAGGGAAUAUUGGACAAUGGGCGCAAGCCUGAUCCAGCCAUUCCGCGUGCAGGAUGAAGGCCCUCGGGUUGUAAACUGCUUUUGUACAGAACGAAAAGGCUCUGGUUAAUACCUGGGGCUCAUGACGGUACUGUAAGAAUAAGCGCCGGCUAACUACGUG